rnacentral:rRNA from 1 species
CCUUUUUGAGUACUGUUUCGUUUCCUCGGCAGGCACGCCUGCCAACGGGGACCCUUCAAAACGCUUUGUAAUACCUGUCAUUGUCUGAUAUAACAAGCAAAAAUCAAAACUUUCAACAACGGAUCUCUUGGUUCUGGCAUCGAUGAAGAACGCAGCGAAAUGCGAUAAGUAGUGUGAAUUGCAGAAUUCAGUGAAUCAUCGAAUCUUUGAACGCACAUUGCGCCCUUUGGUAUUCCUUAGGGCAUGCCUGUUCGAGCGUCAUUUAAAACCUUCAAGCUCAGCUUGGUGAUGGGUGACUGUCCCCUCCCUUCGCGGGGGGACUCGCCUCAAAAAACAUUGGCGGCGGUACAUUGGCUUCGAGCGCAGCAGAAACGCGGUCUCGAGCCCGGUGGAUCGGCUCCCAUAAGCCUCAUUCUUUAUUUUGAC